rnacentral:rRNA from 1 species
UACGUAGGGUGCAAGCGUUAAUCGGAAUUACUGGGCGUAAAGCGUGCGCAGGCGGCUUUGCAAGACAGAUGUGAAAUCCCCGGGCUCAACCUGGGAACUGCAUUUAUGACUGCAAGGCUAGAGUACGGCAGAGAAGAAUGGAAUUCCGCGUGUAGCAGUGAAAUGCGUAGAUAUGCGGAGGAACACCGAUGGCGAAGGCAAUCCCCUGGGCCUGUACUAACGCUCAUGCACGAAAGCGUGGGGAGCAAAC